rnacentral:rRNA from 1 species
UACGAAGGGGGCUAGCGUUGCUCGGAAUCACUGGGCGUAAAGGGUGCGUAGGCGGGUUUUUAAGUCAGGGGUGAAAUCCUGGAGCUCAACUCCAGAACUGCCUUUGAUACUGACGGUCUUGAGUUCGGGAGAGGUGAGUGGAACUGCGAGUGUAGAGGUGAAAUUCGUAGAUAUUCGCAAGAACACCAGUGGCGAAGGCGGCUCACUGGCCCGAUACUGACGCUGAGGUGCGAAAGCGUGGGGAGCAAACAGG